GGGUGGUUGAAAGACAAACUGUUUUGCCAGUAGUCGUGGUAAUACAAUGAAAGUUUAGAUGCGAUUAAACGAUGAAAAAGCCUGGAAGGAGGAGAGAUGACUAGAAACAAUUCGGUUGGCCGUUUUAUGUGUGGAUUAAUUGUCGGAGUAGAGGUCCUUGUUCAUUUCAGAACCUCUUCACUCUGAACAAGUUACAAUUUGGGAAAUGAAACAAUCACUAAAUGUCUUCCUGCAGCAGCUGGAUGCAGAGUGGAACCGUUAUGUAGAGCGUGGUAAACAGCAGCACAGUCAGUUUCUCACAGCUAACCGAGAGCUCAGCCACUUCCUGUGUCAGUUCUCUUUCUCACUCAUUUCGUUUAACCCUCCCCACCCUUAUUUUGACAUAUUAGGUGUUGUAAAGACAGAUGCAGAGAUGGAAGAGAAAGCGAGACAUCCCACAUGCAAUUUGUUUCUGGUUCAUAUACAGACAAUGAACUAAGCAGAACAGACUCAACUGCUAAUGCAUUGGUGCCUAUGGGAGAGCCACCCCCAUAAGCAGACCAAAACAGACUUUUUUCAUGGUAAACGACCUGGAUGGGACAUCUUCAUUUAACCAACAUCUUUGUCAGAUGUAUACAAUGACUUGUUGCUCAUCCUUUCAAACUCCAGAGACUCCUACACUGUACUUCUUUAGUGUCAAAUGUGGCACUACAGUGUCUUGAAUUAAUUUUUUAAAAUUAUAAUCUCAUGUUUCAAAUAAUUAGUAUCUAAAUAAAUUUGAGUUCAAUUCUACGGGGAAACAAAUAGCAAACAAACACCAUAACAUUUUUGUAUCAAAUCAAACUGAAUGAAAGAUAAGAGGCAUAAAGUCAUCUAAAAUAUUAUAUUUUACAGUAGUUCUCACAGAAAUAAGAAUAAAUAAAAAGGGCAUCUCAAUUCAAGUCAAUGAUGGCAUGGGUGGACUGGCAGCCAUUUUGAGUUGUACCCAUGCUAGGAAGUAAAAUCAGGAAGGUUCCCUUCAAUCUGUGCUGUGAUUUGUUGAGUCAAUUCAACUAACAUAAAAAACACUCCAUUGCAUGAGCCACAUCAGUUAG